rnacentral:rRNA from 1 species
GAUCAUGGCUCAGGAUGAACGCUAGCUACAGGCUUAACACAUGCAAGUCAGGGGCAGCAUAUUGGUAGCUUGCUACUAAUGAUGGCGACCGGCGCACGGGUGAGUAACGCGUAUCCAACCUUCCCUAUACUAGAGGAUAGCCCGGCGAAAGUCGGAUUAAUACUCUAUGUUAUUCAAUGCGGACAUCUAAGUUGAAUCAAAGAUUUAUCGGUAUAGGAUGGGGAUGCGUCUGAUUAGGUUGUUGGCGGGGUAACGGCCCACCAAGCCUACGAUCAGUAGGGGUUCUGAGAGGAAGGUCCCCCACAUUGGAACUGAGACACGGUCCAAACUCCUACGGGAGGCAGCAGUGAGGAAUAUUGGUCAAUGGACGAGAGUCUGAACCAGCCAAGUAGCGUGCAGGAUGACGGCCCUAUGGGUUGUAAACUGCUUUUAUACAGGGAUAAAGUGAGCCACGUGUGGCUUUUUGUAGGUACUGUAUGAAUAAGGACCGGCUAAUUCCGUGCCAGCAGCCGC